AGUGAACGCUGGCGGUAGGCCUAACACAUGCAAGUCGAACGGCAGCACAGUAAGAGCUUGCUCUUACGGGUGGCGAGUGGCGGACGGGUGAGGAAUACAUCGGAAUCUACUUUUUCGUGGGGGAUAACGUAGGGAAACUUACGCUAAUACCGCAUACGACCUACGGGUGAAAGCAGUGGAUCUUCGGACCUUGCGCGAUUGAAUGAGCUGAUGUCGGAUUAGCUAGUUGGCGGGGUAAAGGCCCACCAAGGCGACGAUCCGUAGCUGGUCUGAGAGGAUGAUCAGCCACACUGGAACUGAGACACGGUCCAGACUCCUACGGGAGGCAGCAGUGGGGAAUAUUGGACAAUGGGCGCAAGCCUGAUCCAGCCAUACCGCGUGAGUGAAGAAGGCCUUCGGGUUGUAAAGCCCUUUUGUUGGGAAAGAAAAGCAGCAGGUUAAUACCCCGCUGUUCUGACGGUACCCAAAGAAUAAGCACCGGCUAACUUCGUG
rnacentral:rRNA from 1 species